rnacentral:rRNA from 1 species
AGAUUAAGUUAUUAAGGGCGCACGGUGGAUGCCUUGGCACUAGAAGCCGAUGAAGGACGUUACUAACGACGAUAUGCUUUGGGGAGCUGUAAGUAAGCUUUGAUCCAGAGAUUUCCGAAUGGGGAAACCCAGCAUGAGUUAUGUCAUGUUAUCGAUAUGUGAAUACAUAGCAUAUCAGAAGGCACACCCGGAGAACUGAAACAUCUUAGUACCCGGAGGAAGAGAAAGAAAAUUCGAUUCCCUUAGUAGCGGCGAGCGAAACGGGAAGAGCCCAAACCAACAAGCUUGCUUGUUGGGGUUGUAGGACACUCUAUACGGAGUUACAAAGGACGACAUUAGACGAAUCAUCUGGAAAGAUGAAUCAAAGAAGGUAAUAAUCCUGUAGUCGAAAAUGUUGUCUCUCUUGAGUGGAUCCUGAGUACGACGGAGCACGUGAAAUUCCGUCGGAAUUUGGGAGGACCAUCUCCUAAGGCUAAAUACUCUCUAGUGACCGAUAGCGAACCAGUACCGUGAGGGAAAGGUGAAAAGCACCCCGGAAGGGGAGUGAAAUAGAACCUGAAACCGUGUGCUUACAAGUAGUCAGAGCCCGUUAAUGGGUGAUGGCGUGCCUUUUGUAGAAUGAACCGGCGAGUUACGAUUUGAUGCAAGGUUAAGCAGUAAAUGUGGAGCCGUAGCGAAAGCGAGUCUGAAUAGGGCGUUUAGUAUUUGGUCGUAGACCCGAAACCAGGUGAUCUACCCUUGGUCAGGUUGAAGUUCAGGUAACACUGAAUGGAGGACCGAACCGACUUACGUUGAAAAGUGAGCGGAUGAACUGAGGGUAGCGGAGAAAUUCCAAUCGAACCUGGAGAUAGCUGGUUCUCUCCGAAAUAGCUUUAGGGCUAGCCUCAAGUGAUGAUUAUUGGAGGUAGAGCACUGUUUGGACGAGGGGCCCCUCUCGGGUUACCGAAUUCAGACAAACUCCGAAUGCCAAUUAAUUUAACUUGGGAGUCAGAACAUGGGUGAUAAGGUCCGUGUUCGAAAGGGAAACAGCCCAGACCACCAGCUAAGGUCCCAAAAUAUAUGUUAAGUGGAAAAGGAUGUGGCGUUGCCCAGACAACUAGGAUGUUGGCUUAGAAGCAGCCAUCAUUUAAAGAGUGCGUAAUAGCUCACUAGUCGAGUGACACUGCGCCGAAAAUGUACCGGGGCUAAACAUAUUACCGAAGCUGUGGAUUGUCCUUUGGACAAUGGUAGGAGAGCGUUCUAAGGGCGUUGAAGCAUGAUCGUAAGGACAUGUGGAGCGCUUAGAAGUGAGAAUGCCGGUGUGAGUAGCGAAAGACGGGUGAGAAUCCCGUCCACCGAUUGACUAAGGUUUCCAGAGGAAGGCUCGUCCGCUCUGGGUUAGUCGGGUCCUAAGCUGAGGCCGACAGGCGUAGGCGAUGGAUAACAGGUUGAUAUUCCUGUACCACCUAUAAUCGUUUUAAUCGAUGGGGGACGCAGUAGGAUAGGCGAAGCGUGCGAUUGGAUUGCACGUCUAAGCAGUAAGGCUGAGUAUUAGGCAAAUCCGGUACUCAUUAAGGCUGAGCUGUGAUGGGGAGAAGACAUUGUGUCUUCGAGUCGUUGAUUUCACACUGCCGAGAAAAGCCUCUAGAUAGAAAAUAGGUGCCCGUACCGCAAACCGACACAGGUAGUCAAGAUGAGAAUUCUAAGGUGAGCGAGCGAACUCUCGUUAAGGAACUCGGCAAAAUGACCCCGUAACUUCGGGAGAAGGGGUGCUCUUUAGGGUUAACGCCCAGAAGAGCCGCAGUGAAUAGGCCCAAGCGACUGUUUAUCAAAAACACAGGUCUCUGCUAAACCGUAAGGUGAUGUAUAGGGGCUGACGCCUGCCCGGUGCUGGAAGGUUAAGAGGAGUGGUUAGCUUCUGCGAAGCUACGAAUCGAAGCCCCAGUAAACGGCGGCCGUAACUAUAACGGUCCUAAGGUAGCGAAAUUCCUUGUCGGGUAAGUUCCGACCCGCACGAAAGGCGUAACGAUUUGGGCACUGUCUCAACGAGAGACUCGGUGAAAUCAUAGUACCUGUGAAGAUGCAGGUUACCCGCGACAGGACGGAAAGACCCCGUGGAGCUUUACUGUAGCCUGAUAUUGAAAUUCGGCACAGCUUGUACAGGAUAGGUAGGAGCCUUUGAAACGUGAGCGCUAGCUUACGUGGAGGCGCUGGUGGGAUACUACCCUAGCUGUGUUGGCUUUCUAACCCGCACCACUUAUCGUGGUGGGAGACAGUGUCAGGCGGGCAGUUUGACUGGGGCGGUCGCCUCCUAAAAGGUAACGGAGGCGCUCAAAGGUUCCCUCAGAAUGGUUGGAAAUCAUUCAUAGAGUGUAAAGGCAUAAGGGAGCUUGACUGCGAGACCUACAAGUCGAGCAGGGUCGAAAGACGGACUUAGUGAUCCGGUGGUUCCGCAUGGAAGGGCCAUCGCUCAACGGAUAAAAGCUACCCCGGGGAUAACAGGCUUAUCUCCCCCAAGAGUUCACAUCGACGGGGAGGUUUGGCACCUCGAUGUCGGCUCAUCGCAUCCUGGGGCUGUAGUCGGUCCCAAGGGUUGGGCUGUUCGCCCAUUAAAGCGGUACGCGAGCUGGGUUCAGAACGUCGUGAGACAGUUCGGUCCCUAUCCGUCGUGGGCGUAGGAAAUUUGAGAGGAGCUGUCCUUAGUACGAGAGGACCGGGAUGGACAUACCUCUGGUGUACCAGUUGUCGUGCCAACGGCAUAGCUGGGUAGCUAUGUGUGGACGGGAUAAGUGCUGAAAGCAUCUAAGCAUGAAGCCCCCCUCAAGAUGAGAUUUCCCAACUUCGGUUAUAAGAUCCCUCAAAGAUGAUGAGGUUAAUAGGUUCGAGGUGGAAGCAUGGUGAUAUGUGGAGCUGACGAAUACUAAUCGAUCGAAGACUUAAUCAAAUU